rnacentral:RNase_P_RNA from 1 species
GGGAGUAAGAUUUCCAGCCGCCGGCGCAAUGCGCGGGAGGAAAGUCCGGGCUCCGCAGAGCAGGAUGCAGGAGAAAUUCCUGCGAGUGUGAACUCAGGGAAAGUGCCACAGAAAUAUACCGCCCGCAUGUUGCGGGUAAGGGUGAAAAGGUGGGGUAAGAGCCCACCGGCCGACAGGGUGACCUUCGGGCCAGGCAAACCCCAUCCGGAGCAAGGUCGAAUAGGGGAGGACGAGGUUGCUCGCUGACUCCCGGGUCGACCGCUUGAGUCCGUCUGUAAGGACGGAAUUAGAUAAAUGGCUGGAGAGGACUUUGUCCUUUACAAAACCCGGCUUAUUGACUGCUCCCAUUU